rfam:Salmo salar isolate Sally breed double haploid chromosome ssa10, whole genome shotgun sequence.
UGCAUUCACUCCUGUAAGUUGCUCUGGAUAAGAGCAUCUGCUAAAUGACUAAAA